GAGCUAGGGGGAAAUUUUCCCCUCCCUGACAGUUUUGGUGUAGUUGGCUGGAUACUGCUUGCGUACUGCUUGCUACUGGAACUGUUGCAGAUAAAGAGAUCCUGGAACCUCUGAAAAAAACCUGGCAGAAGAUCCAGCUACCAAUUUACAGGAAAUGCAGAAGACAGAGGAAGUAUGUUAAAUGACACCAACAAAAUCCAGACAGUGGAACAGUCUACACGAUAAAGGACCUGGCUUCAUUAACAGAUACAUCACAAGAGUCAAAAAGGAGACCUUCCACAUAAAAAUUCUGAUUUUGGAUUCUUUUGGAAAAAUGGAAAUACCUGGUAACACUAGCCCAGACCUCCACAGUGUAACAACCAGCCGAAUUGAGAAGUGUUACAGGAACAUGCCGUCCAGGGAACCACAGACCCCACUGGUGCCCUUAAAGCCCCCUUCCUGUAUCUAUGCUCCAGCCUCAACAUCAACCUCUGAAACAUAUAUUCAGUGCUGAGUGCGCACAAGGCACGUGGCAGCCCCCAUUGAAUCUGGCAUUGUCCCCUGCCCUCAAGGAGAGUCAAGUCCAGGGGGGAGCAAGUGUUUCUGUCUUAGACUGCUCACUCUGGAAGAAGCCAGCUGCCGUGUUGUCAGGACACACAAGCAGCCCUAUCAGAGGUCCAUGUGGUACGGAACCGAGGCCUCCUGCCAACAGCCAUGAGAGGAGCCAUCUUGCAUGUGGACCCCCAGCUCCAGUCAAGCCUUCAGAUGACAGCAGCCCCGUUCAACAUCUUGAGACCUUGAGGCAGAACAACCCAGCUCAGAUGCUUGCCUUGAUGGGACCAAAAGCCCAGCAGCAGAUGCAGAAGAACUCUCCUCUGAACUUUCCUUAUCUGCCUGGCACAGAGCAUGGAGAAUCAGCAGCCACCACCCCACCUCCACCCUCCAGCUGGUCUCCAGUCAGGGAGGCACCGACCUUGGGCACCAGGACAUUACCAAAGAAAUUGUGUAAACAAGCCUCAUCAGAGCCUUCCAUCCUUUGAAGCCCUCCCCCUCCCCCUCCCCCGCCCACUUUUGUUAAGUUGGUCUAUGAACCUUUGCCUCUGGUUACUCAGUGAGUUACUCAUUACACGGUGCUUCUGCACUCAG